GUGAGGAAUAUUGCGCAAUGGAGGCAACUCUGACGCAGCCAUGCCGCGUGCAGGAAGAAGGCGCUACGCGUUGUAAACUGCUUUUAACCGGGAAGAAACCCCAGGACGUGUCCUGGGUUGACGGUACCGGAGGAAUAAGCACCGGCUAACUUCGUGCCAGCAGCCGCGGUAAUACGAAGGGUGCAAGCGUUAUCCGGAUUCAUUGGGUUUAAAGGGUGCGUAGGCGGAGCGUUAAGUCAGUGGUGAAAUCCUGCAGCUUAACUGUAGACUUGCCAUUGAUACUGGCGCUCUUGAGUGCGCUUGAAGUGGGCGGAAUGUGCCGUGUAGCGGUGAAAUGCUUAGAUAUGGCACAGAACACCAAUUGCGAAGGCAGCUCACUAAGGCGAUACUGACGCUGAGGCACGAAAGCGUGGGGAUCGAACAGGAUUAGAAACCGUGUAGUCC
rnacentral:rRNA from 1 species